rnacentral:rRNA from 1 species
AUGGCGGCGGAGGCCGAGGAGGAGGUGCGGCUGGAGGUGGAGGCGGUGGCGGCGGUGUACGGAGAAGACUGCCGCGUGUACUGCGACUUCCCUCCCCACCUUGUCGUCCACGUUCGCCCCAACACUGCCGACGACUCCUCGCAGCAGUUCGUGGAACUCUUUCUUGGAAUUAAAGCAUCCUCCCAGUAUCCAAAAGAACCACCUCAUGUUUAUGCUGUGGAAAGUAAGGGCCUCGAUGAGAAUAGACAGGCAUAUCUUAUUAGCAGUAUCCAAGACAAGGCAAAAGAGCAUUCCUACUACCCAAUGCUUGUGAUUCUGUGUGAGGAAGCUGGAGAGAUCCUCUCGAAUAUGAAUCAUCCAGCGGGGGAUUGUCCAAUGUGUCUGUAUCCUUUAGUCUCAGAGAAUAAUCAUGAUUCUGCUUUGCCAUUUAUGAAGUUGAUGUCAUGCUACCACUGUUUUCACAGUGACUGCAUUAUGAGAUGGUGGGGCUGGCUCCAGCAUGAUGAUGCCAAUUCUAAGAAGAUAGACACAACAGUAUCUACCGGAGAAGGAUUGAGAUUGUCCAACUCAGACAAGCUAUAUAAUGCAAAUCAUCACAAAGGAUUUUGUCCAGUUUGCCGCAAAGUGUUUGAUGAAAAGGACAUUGAGCAUGUUCGUGAUCUGUUGGAUGCAAACACUUCUCAGCUGAUGGCAUGUUUAACAGUUGACCUGGGAGUAGAUGAUAAAGAGUUGCUCCAUUCCGAGGCAGAGAAGAAGAGGAGAGAGAAAUUUGGGUCAUUGUUUAGUCUGCAACAAGAACGGAAUGGUUUAAUUGAACCAAAGAAAGACCUUGCCAUACAGCCCGGAAUGUAUGUUCUUCUUCCUGCUAGUGAGCCAACCACAAGUGCAGGAGACAGCACCAAUUCUUGGGAAGCAACCGCAAGCUCAACUUCAGAAACAGAUCCACCCGGCAUGGCAAACAUCAGCGGCGGCAGCAAGAAGGAAAACAAUUCAGGUCUUCCAAGGAGAAACCGAGCUUAUGCUCCCAGAAGACAGCCUCAUGGCCAACCUGCUGGAAAACAGUGGCAGAGAAGCCAGCCCGAUAGGCAACAGUGGCAGAAGAAAGACGCAGAAACUUGUCAAUAG